UCUAGAACCGAUAACCCCCGUUCAACCUCACCACCUCUUGUUUUACCCGCCUAUAUACCACCGUCGUCAGCUUACCCUGUGAAGGCCCCAUAGUAAGCAAAAUGGGCAAAACCCAA
rnacentral:rRNA from 1 species